GUCCCUCUUUCUGCCUCGUCUUCUCUCAUGCCCCCAGACAGCUAUGCCAACAGUUUUCACUGUGAUAUGGUUGUGCUUGAGGGGUACGUGACUCAUCACAGGGGAUUUCUAUCGCUGGAACAAUCCUUGACUUAGGUAAUCUGUUUUGAACGCUUCCACUGCGUUAAUUGUUUGGGGCUUUUUCUUAGCGUGUUUGUGGAUGGCUGUCAGUAGAGCUUGUAUUUCUUCCUUCCCAGAACCAGCAUUUUUGCUAUGCAUGCUUGCCUUCUAGGCAACAUUCACACUGAUGGAAGUGCUCCAUGCAGUGAGCAGCUGCCUAGUUACAAAUGACACACCUGGUAGCUGGGGAAGAAGGUGUUCUGCUGUGCCUGUUGCUCUGGGAGCUGAUGGGAUCCUGCACUGCUGGGGAAGGAGGAACAAAGCUAUCAGGUCACCUGUCUGCUUGCGGAUGAUGCUAACAAGAGACUGAGGAAAUUUUGCCAGAUGGAACUCUCAGAAAAACCAGCAGUUGUGGACAAGGGGCCUUCAGGCCUGAGUUGAGGUCUGCUCCUUUUACCAAGCCAAACCAGAAAGCCCCAGUUUCAGGACAGUCCAUAUGGCAGAGCUGUGGAGGCUGGGACAUGAAAAGCCUGGUAAACUUGCUUCUCCAGUCCUCCAGAAGCCUACUUGAUAGGGUAUCAAGAAGUGGGUGUACAAGUAUAGAUGGGGACAACCUCUGAUGAGAUUAUGGCAAUUUUCAGGCAAAACUGAUUUUCUUUUUGAAGAACUGAGUGUGUGGAAAACAAAUGUUCUGCGCAAAAUGAAAGUAAAGUACUUUAUUCUCCAGCUGAGAACAUUCAGAGCCAAAGCAACUCAAAUCUGCUUCCCUAAAUUGCAGAUUUAUUACAUCUGAAGACACAAGAACUUUUGCUGCUGAUGAACACGGCAAAUCUCAUGUAGCAAGAUCUAGCACCUUUUAAGCUUUUUCCUUGCAUGGCCUCUAGAAGCUUCCAUUUCUGCAAAUAGAAAGAUGCUGAGAUGAUUUUCCCCAGUGGUAAGGUAUGCCAGGAUAUGGUUACGUCAACUCAGUCUGAAAGAAAUGUUUGAACUUCCCCCUAGGAGAUUACCCAAUAAGGUGGUGAGCGACUGCAAGAGAAGAAAAAAGAAACAAGGAAGAGAAUUUAUGUUAGAGACACUGUCCUCCUGGUAAUGCCAAACUAGUGCUGUCAUCUUCCUUGGAGUAGGCUGACAAUUCCAAUUCGAUGGAUCUAGGAUAUUAGUACAAAACACAAAGAUGUAUUUCUCACGUUUGUCUAGUGACUCUUCCCUAGACAGUGUUUGUGCAAGCUGUUUCUGGAAGAGAAGAUUAAAUGCAAAUCCUUGGAAUAAGUGUACUGGUAUUGACUUCAAUGACCACUCAGGAAACAAAGCUCCAAGUAAGAUGGCUGCAGGAGUUUAUUUUGACCCACACAUUAUAAAUGUUUUAAUAAAUAGCUAUGCUCUCAUAUAAACUCCUGUCUCCUCACCUUAAAGAUGAGCUCUGGCUUCUCACUUCUGCUCAAAGCAUAUCUGCAUCAUUUCUAUUACUUCCUUCAUUUUCUAAAUGUGAAAACCAGUCAUGCAAAUUGUUAUGGUGUCAAUUCCACACAAGCUUUUCUCUAGUCACUCC
ensembl:lncRNA